rnacentral:rRNA from 1 species
AUGCCUAACACAUGCAAGUCGAACGCUAUUUAUAGAGUGGCGCACGGGUGAGUAACGCGUGGGAACCUGCCUUUCUCUGCGGGAUAACGGUUGGAAACGACCGCUAAUACCGCAUACGCCCUACGGGGGAAAGGUCCGCCGGAGAAAGAGGGGCCCGCGUCUGAUUAGCUUGUUGGUAGGGUAAUGGCCUACCAAGGCGACGAUCAGUAGCUGGUCUGAGAGGAUGAUCAGCCACACUGGGACUGAGACACGGCCCAGACUCCUACGGGAGGCAGCAGUGGGGAAUAUUGGACAAUGGGCGAAAGCCUGAUCCAGCAAUGCCGCGUGUGUGAAGAAGGCCUGCGGGUUGUAAAGCACUUUCAGUUGGGAAGAUGAUGACGUUACCAACAGAAGAAGCACCGGCUAAAUCCGUGCCAGCAGCCGCGGUAAUACGGAUGGUGCGAGCGUUAAUCGGAAUUACUGGGCGUAAAGCGCGCGUAGGCGG